GACGAACGCUGGCGGCGUGCUUAACACAUGCAGGUCGAACGGAAAGGCCCUGCUUUUGUGGGGUGCUCGAGUGGCGAACGGGUGAGUAACACGUGAGUAACCUGCCCUUGACUUUGGGAUGACUUCAGGAAACUGGGGCUAAUACCGGAUAGGAGCUCCUGCUGCAUGGUGGGGGUUGGAAAGUUUCGGCGGUUGGGGAUGGACUCGCGGCUUAUCAGCUUGUUGGUGGGGUAGUGGCUUACCAAGGCUUUGACGGGUAGCCGGCCUGAGAGGGUGACCGGCCACAUUGGGACUGAGAUACGGCCCAGACUCCUACGGGAGGCAGCAGUGGGGAAUAUUGCACAAUGGGCGGAAGCCUGAUGCAGCAACGCCGCGUGCGGGAUGACGGCCUUCGGGUUGUAAACCGCUUUCGCCUGUGACGAAGCGUGAGUGACGGUAAUGGGUAAAGAAGCACCGGCUAACUACGUG
rnacentral:rRNA from 1 species